rnacentral:rRNA from 1 species
UACGUAGGCAGCAAGCGUUGUUCGGAGUUACUGGGCGUAAAGCGUGCACAGGCGGUUUUGUAAGCCAGAUGUGAAAUCCCCGGGCUUAACCUGGGAAUGGCAUUUGGGACUGCAAGGCUCGAGUGCGGCAGAGGAGACUGGAAUUCCUGGUGUAGCAGUGAAAUGCGUAGAUAUCAGGAGGAACACCGAUGGCGAAGGCAGGUCUCUGGGCUGACACUGACGCUCAUACACGAAAGCGUGGGGAGCAAACAGG